UAUAGGAAGAAACCUACUUACGUGUAAGUAGCUGACGGUACUAUAAGAAUAAGGAUCGGCUAACUCCGUGCCAGCAGCCGCGGUAAUACGGAGGAUCCAAGCGUUAUCCGGAAUCAUUGGGUUUAAAGGGUCCGUAGGUGGAUAAUUAAGUCAGAGGUGAAAUCCUGCAGCUCAACUGUAGCAUUGCCUUUGAUACUGAAAGACUUGAGUUAUUGUGAAGUAAUUAGAAUGUGUAGUGUAGCGGUGAAAUGCAUAGAUAUUACACAGAAUACCGAUUGCGAAGGCAGAUUACUAACAAUAUACUGACGCUGAGGGACGAAAGCGUGGGUAGCGAACAGGAUUAGAUACCCUGGUAGUCCACGCCGUAAACGAUGGAUACUAGUUGUUGGGCAUUAGCUCAGUGACUAAGCGAAAGUGAUAAGUAUCCCACCUGGGGAGUACGGUCGCAAGACUGAAACUCAAAGGAAUUGACGGGGGCCCGCACA
rnacentral:rRNA from 1 species